GCUGGCGGCAUGCUUAACACAUGCAAGUCGAACGAGAAAGAGGGGCAACUCUCGAGUAAAGUGGCGGACGGGUGAGUAAUACGUAGGAAUCUGCCCUCAAAUGGGGGAUAACCCGAGGAAACUCGGGCUAAUACCGCAUAAUCCUGAUCAUUUCGGUGAUCAGGCAAAGCAGAGGAUCAGUUGGGCAACUAACUGACUUUGUGUUUUUGGAUGAGCCUACGCCGGAUUAGCUAGUUGGUAGGGUAAUGGCCUACCAAGGCAACGAUCCGUAGCUGGUCUGAGAGGACGGCCAGCCACACUGGGACUGAGAUACGGCCCAGACUCCUACGGGAGGCAGCAGUGGGGAAUAUUGGACAAUGGGCGAAAGCCUGAUCCAGCGAUGCCGCGUGUGCGAUGAAGGCCUGCGGGUUGUAAAGCACUUUCAGUGGGGAAGAAAUACUCAAAGCUAAUACCUUUGAGGGUUGACGUUACCCAAAGAAGAAGCACCGGCUAACUCUGUGCCAGCAGCCGCGGUAAUACAGAGGGUGCAAGCGUUAAUCGGAGUUACUGGGCAUAAAGGGCGCGUAGGCGGAUAUUUAAGUCGGAUGUGAAAUCCCCGGGCUUAACCUGGGAAUUGCAUUCGAUACUGGAUGUCUAGAGUAUGGUAGAGGAAAGUGGAAUUCCCGGUGUAGUGGUAAAAUACGUAGAUAUCGGGAGGAACACCAGUGGCGAAGGCGGCUUUCUGGUCCAAUACUGACGCUGAGGCGCGAAAGCGUGGGGAUCAAACAGGAUUAGAUACCCUGGUAGUCCACGCUGUAAACGAUGAGAACUAGGUGUUCAGGCUACCUUUGGUAGUCCGAGUACCGUAGCUAAUGCGUUAAGUUCUCCGCCUGGGGAGUACGACCGCAAGGUUGAAACUUAAAAGAAUUGACGGGGGCUCGCACAAGCGGUGGAGCAUGUGGUUUAAUUCGAUGCAACGCGAAGAACCUUACCUACCUUUGAAAUCCCUGGAAUCCUUUAGAGAUAGAGGAGUGCCUUCGGGAACCAGGAGACAGGUACUGCAUGGCUGUCGUCAGCUCGUGUCGUGAGAUGUUUGGUUAAGUCCUGUAACGAGCGCAACCCUCAUCUUUAGUUGCUACCCCACUAACGUGGGGGCACUCUAAAGAGACUGCCGGUGAUAAGCCGGAGGAAGGCGGGGACGACGUCAAGUCAUCAUGGUCCUUACGGGUAGGGCUACACACGUGCUACAAUGGGAAGUACAGAGGGUUGCGAAAUCGCGAGAUGAAGCUAAUCCCACAAAACUUCUCGUAGUCCAGAUUGAAGUCUGCAACUCGACUUCAUGAAGUUGGAAUCGCUAGUAAUCGCGAAUCAGAAUGUCGCGGUGAAUACGUUCUCGGGCCUUGUACACACCGCCCGUCACACCAUGGGAGUGUAUUGUACCAGAAGUAGGUAGUUUAACCUGCCCAGCAAUGGGUGGGGGGACGCUUACCACGGUAUGAUCCAUGACUGGGGUGAAGUCGUAACAAGGU
rnacentral:rRNA from 1 species